rnacentral:rRNA from 1 species
UAGGGAAUAUUAGUAAUGGGCGAAAGCCUGAACUAGCAACGCCGCGUGUGCGAAGAAGGCCUUCGGGUUGUAAAGCACUUUUUGAGAGGAUGAGGAAGGACGGUACUCUCAGAAUAAGUCUCGGCUAACUACGUGCCAGCAGCCGCGGUAACACGUAGGAGGCGAACGUUAACCGGAUUUACUGGGCGUAAAGCGCGUGUAGGUGGUUUGGUAAGUAGGGCGUGAAAGCUCCUGGCUCAACUGGGAGAGGCCGUUCUAAACUGCCGAACUAGAGGAUGGUAGAGGGAGGUGGAAGUCCGGGUGUAGCGGUGGAAUGCGCAGAUAUCCGGAGGAACACCAGUGGCGAAAGCGGCCUCCUGGACCACUCCUGACACUCAGACGCGAAAGCUAGGGUAGCAAACGG